rnacentral:rRNA from 1 species
GUGCCAGCCGCCGCGGUAAUACCGGCAGCCCGAGUGAUGGCCGAUCUUAUUGGGCCUAAAGCGUCCGUAGCUGGCCGCGCAAGUCCAUCGGGAAAUCCACCUGCUCAACAGGUGGGCGCCCGGUGGAAACUGUGCGGCUUGGGACCGGAAGGCUCGAAGGGUACGUUCGGGGUAGGAGUGAAAUCCCAUAAUCCCGCACGGACCACCGAUGGCGAAAGCACUUCGAGAAAACGGAUCCGACAGUGAGGGACGAAAGCCAGGGUCUCCAACCGGAUUAGAUACCCCUGUAGUCC